AAUAGAUACCCGGGGUAGUCCCACGCCGUAAACGAUGAGUGCUAAGUGUUAGAGGGUUUCCGCCCUUUAGUGCUGCAGCUAACGCAUUAAGCACUCCGCCUGGGGAGUACGGCCGCAAGGCUGAAACUCAAAGGAAUUGACGGGGGCCCGCACAAGCGGUGGAGCAUGUGGUUUAAUUCGAAGCAACGCGAAGAACCUUACCAGGUCUUGACAUCCUCUGCCAACCCUAGAGAUAGGGCGUUCCCCUUCGGGGGACAGAGUGACAGGUGGUGCAUGGUUGUCGUCAGCUCGUGUCGUGAGAUGUUGGGUUAAGUCCCGCAACGAGCGCAACCCUUGAUCUUAGUUGCCAGCAUUCAGUUGGGCACUCUAAGGUGACUGCCGGUGACAAACCGGAGGAAGUGGGGAUGACGUCAAAUCAUCAUGCCCCUUAUGACCUGGGCUACGACACGUGCUACAAUGGAUGGUACAAAGAGCUGCGAACCCGCGAGGGUAAGCCAAUCUCAUAAAGCCAUUCUCAGUUCGGAUUGUAGG
rnacentral:rRNA from 1 species